AUUGAACGCUGGCGGAAUGCUUUACACAUGCAAGUCGAACGGCAGCACGGGUGCUUGCACCUGGUGGCGAGUGGCGAACGGGUGAGUAAUGUAUCGGAACGUAUCCAAUAAUGGGGGAUAACUAAUCGAAAGGUUGGCUAAUACCGCAUACGCCCUACGGGGGAAAGCAGGGGAUCUUCGGACCUUGCGUUAAUGGAGCGGCCGAUAUCUGAUUAGCUAGUUGGUGAGGUAAAGGCUCACCAAGGCGACGAUCAGUAGCUGGUCUGAGAGGACGACCAGCCACACUGGAACUGAGACACGGUCCAGACUCCUACGGGAGGCAGCAGUGGGGAAUUUUGGACAAUGGGGGCAACCCUGAUCCAGCCAUUCCGCGUGAGUGAAGAAGGCCUUCGGGUUGUAAAGCUCUUUCGCAAGGGAAGAAACGAUACAGUCUAAUAAACUGUGUUAAUGACGGUACCUUGAUAAGAAGCACCGGCUAACUACGUGCCAGCAGCAGCCGCCG
rnacentral:rRNA from 1 species